UACAGAGGGUGCGAGCGUUAAUCGGAAUUACUGGGCGUAAAGCGCGCGUAGGCGGCUUUGCAAGUCGGGUGUGAAAUCCCCAGGCUUAACCUGGGAACUGCAUUCGAGACUGCAUUGCUAGAGUAUGGGAGAGGGAAGUGGAAUUUCCGGUGUAGCGGUGAAAUGCGUAGAUAUCAGGAGGAACACCGGUGGCGAAGGCGGGUCUCUGGGCCGUAACUGACGCUGAGGAGCGAAAGCGUGGGGAGCGAACAGG
rnacentral:rRNA from 1 species